rnacentral:lncRNA from 1 species
CAGCGUGGCACUAGAGUGUACUAUGGUAUUUAUACGCACACAGAUAAUCCGCAAGCGCACGGAUACCGUUGAAGCUUUUACCCGGUUAAAGGUUUUAUCGUAUCCACAGGGAAACAGGAGAACCAACUACGCUCUAACUUAACCAAGAUAGAUAGAUAGGUGUAAAUAGGAAAGAUGGUAGAAUCGAAUAAGAACAAUAUUAAAGGUAAGAUAACAGUGAGUGAUAAUAUGGGAAUAGAGAGUAGAGCAAUUCUAGUAUAUGGGCGAUGGUAGCAGAAUAGAGAGGAUAACUAUGGUUUCUCUACUUCAAAGGGGUAUGUCUAUGUCUGGGACGAACCACGUGAUAAGAGUACACCACAAAGGAUGCUUAUCCAUAGGCCGAUAAACCCUACCCGUCCUACUAACGAGAGGUGGACUACAGGGGACCAACGUAACUGUCACCUACGCGGCCUACCACACGAUCCAGUUAGUCAGGGGAUAUCCACAAGUAAUCUAGGUCUAAGCACCACGCUUACACCUAUACUACAACUCUAACCUAUAGGGUCCUAUAGAUUAGAAGUACUCAAAAGAGUUGUGAACCAGAACAUACAUGAUUAGUAAUUGCAUAAUGAAUUAGAAGUAGAUUACCAGAGUCAUCCCAUGAGCAAGCUUGAUUAGAGCUUGAUCAUGGCGAAGUACAACCGGAGGAAGAACCGACAGGCCGGCCUCUCCUCUAAUCCUCCUUCGCUCUCCAUCUCGCUACUAUCUAGAUCUACUCUAGUUUAGAGAAGACAGGAGAGCUCUCAUCUCUAAACCCUAGCUUUUGCUCUGUCUAUGAAUAAUGAAUAAUGAUCAAGGGGUGCCUCCUCCAGGGGCCAGGGGGUCUGGUUUUAUAGUCCCCUCAAGUGAACCUGGGCCGUCAGAUCAAACCGACAUUGAUUGAACGGUUAUUCUUGAUCCUUUAGGUCGGUGGAGCAUAAUCUGUGAGAUUGAGCGUGAUUGGCCGAAAAAGGUGGGCGGGCGCCCUGUCCCUGACUCCGUUCGGACUCCGCUUCCUUCCCGUGGCUUCUGGAGUCUUCUAGAUGUAAGAUAAUUGUGUGGCACGUUAAUAUCUCUAUGUAAUCCCGACGUGUGGGCCUUUCUUCCGUAUUUCCUGAUAACCCCCUGCAGAAAUAGACAAACACCAAAACUCAUGGAAUUCUGUCAGAUAAAACCCUAAGUCUCGAUGUUGAUUUCAUUUGGAUCCUUUUCUUUGUUUAUUUGAUAAUUAAAUUUGAUACUUAAGGACCGUCAACAAACUCCCCCAAGCUUACCUCUUGCUCGUCCCUAAGCAAGGAUAGACUCAGCAAUGGAUCAGAAGUUGUUGCAAUAUCUUAAAAAUUUGACGGUACACAUGCUUUUUAAAUAAGUUCUCAUCUCUAAGUUAGAGUAAACUAUCAAGAACUAAAACUUACUUACUUUACCUUUCACCAUGGGACUUGUAACCGUCACUUCUGUCUUGAGUAGUUAAAAGAUAGAACAGUCUAGCCAAGUGCCAUGUCUCUUAUUCUUGAUCAGCUAUAGCUCUGGAGUUUUUGCAGAUUUUCAAAUAAAACUCAAAGAUUCCUUGUAUGACUCUCUCAUAUCUCUCUUUUGUGGUAUUUCUAGAUCCUUACCAAGGCAGUGAUGGUACAUGCCUUCUCUCAAAAUAUGUGGUAUUUGUGGUAUAAGGCAUAGUGACAUUGCCUUCUCUCUCACCCUACUCUAAUAAGGCUUUAAUAUCUGGAGCCCAUAGGUGGGAGAUAAAGUAUACAUACUUACAAGACAUGUAUUGCAUAGUCAAACCAUGGAUCCAAAGAAACAAAUCAAUAAGCCAAAUCAAGAUGUGCAUGUGUGGCGAAUGAAUAGUGUAUGGUGAUGAUGGUGAUAACAAUGGUGAAAGUCUAAUUCUACUUUUGCUCUUUUGAGGGGAUACGUACCUUCCUUGCUUUUUGAAACUUUAUGAGGAGAAUGAGAUGCUCUUCUUUUUCUUUUCUCUCAAAUGGGUAUCCUGUACCCCUAAUUCUACUGUCGGACACUUGUCCAUUUUUACCUCUCGUCUCACACUUUCUCUUUUCUUUCGAGGUUCCGGGCACUUGCCCCUUUUUAUUUCCUCGUUUAUUUUUUUUUUCUUUUCUUUUUUUUUAUUAGAGCACUCAUCUCUUGAGAUAAUAUAGCAAGUGGUAGUAGCAAGAUAACUUGAGCAUUUAUUUCACAAGGGAAAAACACAGAUGUUUUUGGCUAUUCUCUCCCGAAUUAGGAGUAGAAUAUUUUUAGGUGAUUCUGGAGAUGGAAAUGGAUGGAUAUAUGUGGAUGGUACUUCCGGAGUAGAAGUAGCAUAUAUAUGAGUGAACGUGCAAGUGAAUCUUGAUUUAACCACAUGACAAGCUCCUAAGGGUCUACACAGCUUGACCACACUCAAUGCUCAUAAGCAGUAAAUAAAUGUGUGGCUCAAAGUCUAGCAAGCAUGUAUAUAUGGCUGUGGUAGGAAUUUAAACUUUCAUUAUACAGGAACUCAUCAUGCAACAUUUUAAAGAUUUUCAAAGAUAAAAUUCUCCAAAAUUCUAGCAUCUCUAGGAACAGAUAAACAGCAGCUCAACCUUCCCAUAUCUUAUCCGUUAACAACUUAGAUUUAGAUUUCAGAUCAAGUUUUUAUCCCACAAGUUUAGAUCUAGAGCAAGCUUUAAAUUAUAACAGUUAUGUCUAAACUUGAGAGAGAACUUUAAAUUUGCAAAUUAGGCAGAGCAACUAUUCAUCAUAUCCAUGCUAGAGUUUUAUUAUUAAGAUUCAUAGCAAACUUUAUUUAUUUAUUUAUUUAUUUAGGAAACUAAGAAAAGAUAUAUAUAUAUAAGCAUAAAAUCUUUAUUUGGUUUUUCAUAGUUUAUGUAUUUUAAUAUUCUAAUAUAAUAUAAGUAUAAAGAUAGGUAGAAAUACUUAGCGAGAUAAAUAGGGGUGCUCUCCCCCAAGCUGAAUUUUAACGUAAUUUCUCUUGAUGUAGCUAGCAGGUGGCAGAGGUGUAUUUGAAAGUCAGCAGCAUUCUGACAGCUAUUAGAAUGUCCUCCGUCUGCUAGUCUUCUUGAUUCUUAAAUUCUGUGGACUUCAAAUAGACAACAAAGCUUGUGGAACUAAUUAAGUGUUAGCAUAAAUAUCUAGCCUUCGUCACAUUGAGCUUCCUCAAUAAAUAUUACUCCCUGUUUUUAUAUUUUUAUUUUAUAAAGUAGAAAAGAAAUAUUUGUUUUAUUUUUAUGCCACCACAGUGAAGGUACUUAUGGGUUUUAUGCCACUCGUAUACUCACAUGGGGCUUAGUAUUUUUUUAACAUUUUUAUUUUCUUUUCAAGAUAGCAUGAUUAACUAAUAAUCUAUUUAAGGAAAGUAAAUAAUUAAAUGGAAAAGGGAAUGCAGAAAGGAUAAAUAUGGAUAACUACCAAUCUUACCUUUCGGCGAGGGUUCAAUGUUUUAAGUCUUCUUGUCAAGACUUCUCAUCGUGUUCAUUCUUCAGGUGCGUCAUUUGAUUCAGGUGCGGACCUUGACGUCUGCACCUUUUAAUACGGUGUCACCCAUGUUCUUCGUUUGCCCAGCAGUUCGAAGUGCGGUGUUAGCAGUAUCUUGCUCAGUGUGUUUGUGCUCGUAGUGUACCUGCUCAUAAAGACAAGGCAGAGAUCAAGUGCAUGGGCCCUGUUGGUGGAAAACACCAACAGAACCAAAAGUGUAUUUGUUCUUCUCUAACCUUAAGCAUAGUGAGCAAGACAAGUUGAUGGAUGAUAAGUUCAUGAGUGUAGCACUUAUAACAUUUGUCAGAUCAGAUCGCUCAACCUUAUGGAAAGAUAAUCUAUCUAUGUAUAUGUCUUUUUCUUUAUAUCUCUCAAUGAUUGAAUGUGUAACAUUUUAGCUCAUAUGAUUAGGAGUGUGGGAUCAUGGAGGUAGUACUAAGAACAAGGAUUAAAGGACUAAACAUGUUGAAUCAGUUGGGUUGGUUAAUCUAGAGUUGUAAAUCAUACACGUUUGUCUCUUUUAUUUAUAUGAACGCCAGAACCAAGGAGAAGCUUAUAAAAGUGAUAGUCAAGUACCUUAAGAUGUUACCUUGCUCGAAGAGUGAUGGUACAGUAUCAUCUUGUGGAAGCUUUCCUUUCUUAGCGGUUGUGCGUCGUGUUUGUGGCACCCUCCAUGGAUCAUCUCUCUAUGAUGAAUGAGCUAUGUCCUUCUUGUGCAAAUUGUUAAACUUCAUGUGUCACUCUCUUCGUCUCUGAUGUGAGUUUAUCUCAGGACUUCCCAAAUCGAUAUUGAAAGUUUUUCUGCAGGGGUUAGUCCGACAAAAUAUACCAAUAUCUACUCAAGCAGUUUUUUUAGUUAAAUAACCAAACUAGACUCCAUGUCUACUCAGAUUAAGGAAGGCUGUUUAACCUAAGCACCAUGCUUAAUUUAAAUGCCAAUGAAAGUAUGGCGAGUACUUCCAAACCAACACUUGCUAGUAAAUAGACAAAGGUAGCAUGACAGUGUUUAUAGAGAUUUACUCAAGUGGAGAUGAAGUAGUGUGAUUAGUAUUUAACAAAUUGAGCAUGUCUCAAAGGUAGGGACAACCAGCAUAGCAACAUGGCAAAGGAUGUUUUUAUGUAAAGUACUUCCCCAAGCUUGAAUUUUGCAAAAUUCAAGUUUGGAUGAAUUUAAUUCAAUGUUGUAUGAUGAUUGGUUGGACAUACCUUGUGCUUGUCAUUCAUCCGAUCUUCUUGCUCCAAUCUUAGAAAGGUUAGUGACAAGAAUACCCAAAGGAAUUUUUUUUUUUACAAUUAUCCUUAUAUGCUCAAUACACAAGGUAAUGUUGCAAAUAAUUAAAGGCUCAUGUUACGAUCUGAUCAAUGCUUAUUUUAAGACACUAAGCUUGUCCUUGGGAAACCAUCAGUUUAUGUUGGCGAAGUGGUUUCCCCUCCGACGCCAACCUAUAUCUAGAUCAACUCAACGAGAUCUGCAAUAUUUAUUAUAGACAUAUGCAUCGACAACCGCCCUUUUAAAGUUUUUAUAAAUAGAAAGGAAGAGGGGGUUGGAGAACUCAAGUGUGGUGAUGUCGGAGAGACCAAUAGAUUGGGAAGAUGUUGCAUAUGAGCAUGGAGUAAAGGAAGUGGCUAUGAAAUAAAUUCCAUGCUCAUUAAUGUUAUCUUCGUCUCUAAUCUGAAUGUUCAGAGUUUCUCCUGGAUUGGUCUCACCUAUGUCCUCUUCUGUAGUUGGAUGAAUCUCAUCUUCAAAGGAAGUCAAGAACUCACCAUUUGAAAUUGAGCCAAAGUCAGAACCUAUUAAGGCUUCUUCCUUAUCCAUCCAUUCUACACAUUCUAGCCAUUUAGAACUUGUGAUCAAAAUAGGGGAGGUGUUAGAAUUUUCUAUAUGGCUUAGCUCUCCUUCUAUGGCAUUACUUGACAUGCCAUCCUUAUGGUCUUCAUGACUCCUUUGGUUUGGUCAUCUUGGUGAAUUGCUAGGAUCAUCAUGAGACUGAAAAGAAGAGGGAUAAGAGGGAUCUCUAAGGUCAAGGAUGGAUUUAGAACUUGUGAACAUGGAAGGGGAGUAGAUAGAAUUGUCUAUAUGGCUUAGCUCUCCUUCACUUGAUAUGUCAUCCUCGACUUCUUCAUGAUAGGAACCAGGACAUUCUCUAAGAGAAACAUUAUUGCAAUGAUUUGAAUUAUCCCUGCUUGAAGGUCUCUUAUAGAACCAGAAGUCUAAACCAUCAGCAUCUAAAAGAUUUAAGGUCGGAAUUCCUUCCUCCCUUGGAGAAUUUUGGGGUAUUGAUGGUUUAGGAUCGAUAGCUAAAGUUUGGGAUUGAAGUGGUUGUAAUCUGGCUAUCGAAACUUCUUCUUCUUGUCUAGGAACUGGUUCUUUCUCUUUCUCAGGGAUAUAAAAGCUAGGAGACUUUCCGCUCAUUAAAUCAAUCAAAUUCCAAGCUUUACUAGCGGAUAGGUGGUGGAAAGAUCCUCUAGAGGCCGCAUGAAGGGUUUGCUUAUUUUUCCUACUAAGGCCCUCAAAAAAGUGAAUUAGAAGAACUUCUUCUAGAAUAGAAAGUUUUGGGCCAGUGAGAGUAAGGUUAACAAAGCGGUCCCAUGAUUUGCCAAGAGAUUCUUCUUCCAGUUGUCUAAAAGAAAGAAUCUCACGCCGAAGUUCCACCACUUUGGAGAUUGGAAAAUAUUUAGAAAGAAAACUACUAUAUAACUCCUUCCAAUCUCCAUGAACACUCCCUACUUUGAGUUUAUACCAAUGUCUAGCUUUUCCCGUUAAAGAGAACGGAAAGAGCUUCCAUUUAGGGGUCUCAUCGGACAUGCCUUCUAUGCGAAGGAGGUCACAGACUCGAUAAAACUCUCUUAGGUGUGUGUAUGGGUUUUCCUCACCUUCUCCUGAGAAAGGUUGUUUUUGAAUAAAUUCUAUGUAUUCGGGGUCUAUCUCAAAACUAGAUGCUAUGAUAGGCUUUGAAGAUUUUGGUGGUUCGAGAUGUGUGCCCAUAGGUCUAUGAAAUUAAUAGAUAGACAUGUUUGAAUUCAUCAUAGACCAGAGAUCAAGGAUUAGAUAAGAAGAAAGAAUAGCAGAGAUGAGGCAAAGGAUAAAAGGAAAAUAUUUUUUUUAUUUUUUUUAUAAAAUGAUUAAUCUAGAUCGUAGUCAACUCAGCAACCGUUUCCCCGGCAACGGCGCCAAAAAUGCUUGUUGACACUUGCUAACACCACUUGAAUACUAGGUUGUCAUCCCCAGCGUGGCACUAGAGUGUACUAUGGUAUUUAUACGCACACAGAUAAUCCGCAAGCGCACGGAUACCGUUGAAGCUUUUACCCGGUUAAAGGUUUUAUCGUAUCCACAGGGAAACAGGAGAACCAACUACGCUCUAACUUAACCAAGAUAGAUAGAUAGGUGUAAAUAGGAAAGAUGGUAGAAUCGAAUAAGAACAAUAUUAAAGGUAAGAUAACAGUGAGUGAUAAUAUGGGAAUAGAGAGUAGAGCAAUUCUAGUAUAUGGGCGAUGGUAGCAGAAUAGAGAGGAUAACUAUGGUUUCUCUACUUCAAAGGGGUAUGUCUAUGUCUAGGAUGAACCACGUGAUAAGAGUACACCACAAAGGAUGCUUAUCCAUAGGCCGAUAAACCCUACCCGUCCUGCUAACGAGAGGUGGACUACAGGGGACCAACGUAACUGUCACCUACGCGGCCUACCACACGAUCC